UCAUUUGCACACUGGGAAAGUCACCAGUGCCCUGGCUGUCAUGGCAACAGCUGCCUUUGCUGAUUUCCCCUAACAUUAUUUCAGAGGAGCUUCAGUCAAAGCCGGGCUUGGAUCAGCUGCUACUCGGUUCCUUUGGGCUUGUACUGGGGUACUCUACACUGCUUUUCAAAGAAUCACAGGACCGGAAAGGACCUCAAGAUCAUCUGGUCCAGUCCCCUGCACUCAUGGCAGGACUACGUAUUAUCUAGACCAUCCCUAACAGGGUUUUUAACAGAUGCAGCGGUGUCUGCCUACAGAAAACCUGAAACAGCAUCUGUGAGGUUUGAAUUUCCCUGUUCAUCUCAUCCAGUCGAGCAGCCCAGAAUUUGGAGCAACCUUUGCACAACCUCACCUCACCUGCUGGAGGUGCUGCACACAAUCAAAUCUACUUGCUUUAACUGGAUCCUAAGAAAGACUCAAGAGAAGACUGCACCCCUUCUGGGUCCCCCAGGCUGGCUGAUUAUUUAAAAAAGGUGAAUUUGAGGGCA